rnacentral:rRNA from 1 species
AAAGCUCAAAUUUUGAAUCUGGCGGUCUUUACGGUCGUCCGAGUUGUAAUCUAGAGAAGCGUCUUCCGCGCUGGACCGUGUAUAAGUUUCCUGGAAUGGAACGUCGUAGAGGGUGACAAUCCCGUCUUUGACACGGACUCCCAGGGCUAUGUGAUGCGCUCUCGACGAGUCGAGUUGUUUGGGAAUGCAGCUCAAAUAGGGUGGUAAAUUCCAUCUAAAGCUAAAUACAGGCGAGAGACCGAUAGCGAA